UUCACCGCUUUUCUUUCUGUUUGCAUCCCAUGAUGCUCUUUUCAAUCACAACUUGCAUGGUUCCUGUGCAGGUAUGAAAAAUCUCACUGUCUUUGAGUUGGGAUGAAAAACAGUGAGUGUUUCCCUGCCAAGUCUCCGAUAGAAGGCAGUGCGAACAGAUGGUGGAGGAAGCUGCACAGAGAACCUUGGUUCACCCCACCGUGAUGUGAGCAGGGAAUCACACACGAAGGCUCUUUCUCUUCCUCCUGUGAAUAACUUUUACAAAUAACCAGCAGGAACCGGGGAGUCGGUGGUGGGGGCACGCAUGAGUUUCCUUUCCUCUGAAGCCUUGGUUCUUUAAAUUGGCAGCAUAACCACUGUUCCCGUGCACACACGGAUAUUUGAAGGCAUCAGUGAAAAGGAUGCAGGGUAAACAUGAAGCAGAGGACACGGUGGGUUGGCAGAUGUGGGCUGGGUCCUGGAAGCUCACAUGGACCUGGAAGUUUAUUCCAUCCUGAGUUCUCGUCGUGGCUCUGUGUGUUCUGCUUCUCUGGGAAUCUCGGGCAGUUGGAGUCUUUCUGUACACUUCUCAGUGCCUGGCUGUGUGGGGUAGAAGCAAGUAUUUGUGAAACUCGGGCCAAGGUAUUAUCAUUUUCCAUCUGUGCUACCAUGUGAAAAAGGUUGGGAAACUCUACUGGAAACUGACCUCGCUCUUGGGACCCACCCUGCCAGGCAAAAGGGGCAGGCACUGAGGACCUCGGGAGCAUAGAGGAGCAACAACCAGCCCAGCCUGGAGGCACCAGCAGGGAAGAGCCUUUCCAGACAAGAGGGCUCCCGAGCUGCGUGAAGUGGAGGAGAAACACUUGACCCUGUGAUGCAACGCUGGUCUCCAUAAAUAUCUGCCAUGGCUUUCCUGAGAGCUUGGGAACUGGGAGAAUAAACGGCUUUAUCUGGAAUCUGGUUGGCUGAUCAGUAUGACAAGGAGUAAGUCACUUUCGAUUGCAUUGGAGCAGUCUCAUUAUUUUAUCCCCAUGAGCCAUAGGAAUAUCAUCAUUUUAUGUAAUAUUUGUGAGGUGAAGCAGGUCGAAAAGCACUGCUGAGCAGGCAGCAGUCUCCAGUUCAAUUCCUGAAGCCUCAGCCUCACUAUAUCCGAGACCUUGAGUUCACGUGAUACCUCAGUAUCUCCUCUUUCUUAUGGAGUUAGUUUAAAUGUAUUUUGUCUCUUACCUAUAGAGUCCUGAUUACGAGGGUCAUAAUGACAGAGAAAACCGUAAAGUAUCAGCCUCUUAGUUCAUCUCUGCACAUGGUAAUUUUCAUGGUGUUUUCUACCUGGUGAGAGUCAUCCUCAAGAGCUGAUUAUUUAGUUCACAAUUGUUGAAAAACAAGUACAGGCCGGGCACGGUGGCUCAUGCCUGUAAUCCCAGCACUUUGGGAGGCCGGGGCGGGCAGAUCACGAGGUCAGCAGAUUGAGA
rnacentral:lncRNA from 10 species